UGGGGAAUUUUGGACAAUGGGCGAAAGCCUGAUCCAGCAAUGCCGCGUGUGUGAAGAAGGCCUUCGGGUUGUAAAGCACUUUUGUCCGGAAAGAAAUCCUUGGCUCUAAUACAGUCGGGGGAUGACGGUACCGGAAGAAUAAGCACCGGCUAACUACGUGCCAGCAGCCGCGGUAAUACGUAGGGUGCAAGCGUUAAUCGGAAUUACUGGGCGUAAAGCGUGCGCAGGCGGUUUGUUAAGACCGAUGUGAAAUCCCCGGGCUCAACCUGGGAACUGCAUUGGUGACUGGCAGGCUAGAGUAUGGCAGAGGGGGGUAGAAUUCCACGUGUAGCAGUGAAAUGCGUAGAGAUGUGGAGGAAUACCGAUGGCGAAGGCAGCCCCCUGGGCUAAUACUGACGCUCAUGCACGAAAGCGUGGGGAGCAAACAGGAUUAGAUACCCUGGUAGUCCACGCCCUAAACGAUGUCAACUAGUUGUUGGGGAUUCAUUUCCUUAGUAACGUAGCUAACGCGUGAAGUUGACCGCCUGGGGAGUACGUCGCAAGAUUAAAACUUAAAUGAAUUGAC
rnacentral:rRNA from 1 species